rnacentral:rRNA from 1 species
AUUGAACGCUGGCGGCAGGCCUAACACAUGCAAGUCGAGCGGAUGAAGGGAGCUUGCUCCUGGAUUCAGCGGCGGACGGGUGAGUAAUGCCUAGGAAUCUGCCUGGUAGUGGGGGAUACCGUCCGGAAACGGGCGCUAAUACCGCAUACGUCCGGAGGGGGAAAGGGGGGGAUUUUCGGACCCCACGCUAUCAGAUGAGCCUAGGUCGGAUUAGCUAGUUGGUGGGGUAAAGGCCUACCAAGGCGACGAUCCGUAACUGGUCUGAGAGGAUGAUCAGUCACACUGGAACUGAGACACGGUCCAGACUCCUACGGGAGGCAGCAGUGGGGAAUAUUGGACAAUGGGCGAAAGCCUGAUCCAGCCAUGCCGCGUGUGUGAAGAAGGUCUUCGGAUUGUAAAGCACUUUAAGUUGGGAGGAAGGGCAGUAAGUUAAUACCUUGCUGUUUUGACGUUACCAACAGAAUAAGCACCGGCUAACUUCGUG